rnacentral:lncRNA from 1 species
GGCGGCGUUUGUAACGAGGGAAAGUCCCGACCAAGUACUGGCUGUGGAAAGCAGCCAAUGGACAAAUCUAUUAAGGAAGGUACAGAAACCCGCUAAUUUUUUGUUUUGUGGUGAGUACUGAGUUUCACGUCAGCUAGAAAAAUGUCCGUUAAUAAGGCUGCAUACUUGGGGAUCGCGUGGCCUGCCUGAGUGGGGGAGGAGCCGGCCUGCUGUUCAUUUUACUCUCUUGCCUCUGUAAAAUAUCGAAGAAUAAUUUCUCUAUUUUUUUAGUCACUUACCACCACGGAUGAAGUUAGACGGUUGCGGAUACUAGCUCGUAGGGAUUCUGAGCCGUUUUCCUCUCUUUUUAACUUGUUUAAAUGGGUUUUUAUUGACACCACGCCGACGCCAGAACGCUUCCAGGAACAGCCUAACCCGUUGGACCUACCUUUCCUUAUUUCCUUUGUGUUGCAUUUCGCGUGCAAAGGUUGUUUUGAUAAACUAAUCAGUUUGUAGCAUACUUAUUAUGGGCUAGAUUUAAUUUUUUUUUUUUUGUAUCCUUUGUAUAGGUCUCAGAUGAGGACUUCUGGGCAUACAUUUAUUCUGGAAGCACAUUGUUCUGUUCAGAAGUAGGUGUGUGUGUGUGUGUGUGUGUGUGUGUGUACAGGUAAUCUCUUGAGGAAUUGUUACAUUUUUUUGUGGAUUAUUACCUUGAUGAUUCAGUAAGAAAAGAGCUAGAUUUUUCAUGUUCAAAUCUUUUGGUGAAAAUAUGUUUAUGUUAAGCGUAGCAUAUUUGGGGAAGACUAAAACGUUUGCAGCUUUAUUUUUAUGAGGAGUAACUGAAAACAACCUGUAUAUCCAUCUAUAGUAUGUUUGAAUAAAUUGUAGGACAUUCAUGUUAUGAAAUAUUUUGCAGCUGUGGAAACAGAUUUACCUCUUCACACACUUUUGAUCUAGAGAAUGAUAUAAUGGAUUGUUAUGUGAGAAAAGCAAGUUACAGAAUAUCUAAUAUGCUGUUUUUGGUGGGAGGAAUGAUGAGGGAAUGUAAGAUUAACUUUCUUUGUCUUUUUUGGGGGGGUUUUCCACAUAUGUUAUGAAAUACUUAAGAUAUACAAACAUAUAAAGAAUAAUACAAUGAGAGAUGCAAAAAAAAAAAUACAGUGAACCUCUGUUUUCACCAUCCAAACAUAAAAAUAUUACCAUCAUAGUUGAAGUUCUGUGUACUCAUCCCUGAAUGUGUCCCUUUCUUCCUUCAUCCCCAGAGGUAACUAUUAUUUUAAACAGUGAUUAUAUUUCCCAUGCAUUUCUUAAAAUUUGUGACACGUGAACUUCUAGCAUGGAUUAGUUUUUUAAAUAAGUUUUGAAGAGAAAUUUUAAAAAGAAAAGUCAAUAAAAAAGAGGAGUUUUAAAGUGCCUGCUAUCUGGAUUAUAGUUAACAGGGGCCAUUUGAAAUUUCUUUUAAGUUCAGGGCAGAAUCUAAUUUAAAAAAAAAACAAAAACAGGAAAUAAAUGUUGGUAAGGAAGUAGAGAAAUUGGAAAAUUGGAACUGGUGUACAUUGUUUUGGGGAUAUAAAAUGGUGCAGCCACUGUGGAAAAUAAAAAUAGAUUGCCAGUUUCUCUAUAGGUUAAACACGGAAUUACCAUGCUUCCUUGCCAGCGCUUGUUAUUUCCUGUUUUUGUUUUGUUUUGUUUUUUAAUUCAACCAUAUUAGUGUGUUUGAAGUGGUGAGUCCUUAUGGAUUAGAUCUGUGUUUUCCUAAAGACUGAUUUGGGGUAUGUUUUCAUGUCCUUGUUGAACAUUUGUAUGUUUCUUUGCAGAAAUGUCUAUUCAAAUCCUUUGCCCAUUUUUUAAUUUAGGUAUUUUUUUUUGUUGCUGUUGUUGAGUUGUAAGAAUUCUUUAUAUAUUUUGAACUGUUAUAUAUUUGAUUUGAAAUGUCCCAUUCUGUAGGUAUUUUUCACGCUUUAUUGAUAAUGUCGUUUGGUGUACAAUUUUUUAAAAGUUUGAAGUCCAAUUUGUUUUUUUCUCGUUUGUGCUUUUGGUGUCAAAUCUAAGAAUUCUUUGUCAAAUCCAAAGUCAUGAAGUCAUACAUCUCUAUGUAUUCUUUUAAAUGUUUUAUGGUUUUAACUCUUGUAUUUAUGUCAUUGAUCCAUUUUGAGUUCAUUUUUGUAUAUGAUGUGAGGUCCAACUUCAUUCUUUUAUACGCACAUAGCCAAUUGACCCAGCACCAUAUGUUGAAGAGACUGUUUAUUCCCUAUUGAAUGGUCUUGGCACCCUUGUUGAUAUCAAUUAGCCAUAGAUGUGUAAGUUUAUUUCAGGUCUUUCAUAUUCAUUCCAUUUGUCUCUAUCUGUCCUUAUGCUAGUACCACACUGUUUUGCUUACUAUAGAUUAUAGUAAGUUUUCAAAUUGCAAAGUGUCACUCUGCCAACUUUGUUCUUCUUUUUCAAAAUUGUUUUGGCUAUUCAGGGAUCCUUGCAAUUCCAUAUGAAUUUUAGGAUCAGCUUGUCCAUUUCUUUUUAAGUCAUACAGAAAAAAAAUAAGAGGAGCUACAAACCAAAAAUACAAUAAUACUGGCAUUUAUGUUUACCUAUGUAGUUAUCUUUACCAAUGUCUUUUAUUUAUUCAUACACUUUUGAGUUAGUCUUUUAUCCUUCCGUUUUAGCCUGAAGAACUCCCUUUGACAGUACGUGUAAGGGAAAUCUAUUAGCAACGAACUUCCUCAGAUUUUCUUUAUCUGGCAAUGUCUUAAUUUCUCUUUUCAGUUCUUUUGAUGUAUAUAUUGAAAUAUAGUUCACACAUCAAUUACCCGCUUAAGGUGUAUCGUUCAUUGGUUUUCAGUAUAUGUGCAACUAUCACUACAAACAUUUAGAAUGUUUCAUCACCCCAAGAAGUCCAUGCACUUUAGCCAUAACCCCAUACCCCUUGAGCCCUACCUGCUCAGCCCUAGGCAACCACUAAUCUACUUUUUGUCUCUACAGAUUUCCCAGUUUUGAACAUUCUGUAUGGAUGGAAUCAGAAUAUGUAGUCUGUUGUGUUUGGCUUCUUUCACUUAGCAUAAUGCUUCAAGGUUUAUCCAUGUUGUAGCAUGUAUCAAUACUUCAUUCCAUUUAUGACUGAAUAAUGUUCCACAUUAUGGAUAUACCACAUUUUGUUUAUGCAUUCAUUUAUUAAUGUAUAUUUAAGUUGUUACUGCCUUUGGCUAUUAAGAAUAAUUCUGCUGAAAUAUUCAUGUACAAAUUUCUUUCUAGAAAUGUUUUCAUUUCUCUAGGUAUAUAUUUAAGAGUGUUUUUGCUGGGUCAUAUGGUAUCUAUGUUUAAUUGGGAAACUGUAGACUUUUUUUCCAAAGUGGCGGCACCAUUUUACAUUCACAGCAGCGCGGUAUAUGAGGGCUUCAACUUGGCUACAUUCUCACCAACCAUGUCAUCAUCUGACUUCAUCCAAUUCUAGCCAUCCUAGUGGGUGUGAAAUGGUGUCUCAUUGUAGUCUUCUUUCCCACAAGGUUAGUCCUCUGAGUUGGUCCUUAGGGAGGGGCAAUUUGAAUAUGCCCCCAAUCACCCUGGGUUGGCUGGUUUUGUUAGGGCUGUCUUUCCCUGACCACACCCAGCAGCCAAGAUCCACUUACUGGGAACUAAUUAAUUGUUUUCCACAAUGCCCUGGGGCAUAAACUACUUUGAAAGCAAAUGCAGUCAAAAAGUGUGUCCUUUGAAGAAAUAGUUUCUAAGCUUAUUGUUUGAUAUUUGUUCUGACCCCAGGAGGGCCCCUCCCAGUUGUUUUAGUCUCUAGUUCUCUCCUGCAAAGUAGUUUACCUACAGUUUAGCCUCUGUAUUUUGAAUGGGCUAUUUGGCUUUUGUUACAACCUCACUUUUCUCACUACUCCUGUAGGCUUGACUUUCUCCAAGCUCUUACAAAUGAAGUCAGUCCCUUUGGGAAGAAAUUAAGAGCUAUCUUUUAAUAUCUGCUUCUUCCCUCAAACAGAAGCUCUGAGCCUGGUCUCUGGAGGUGGGGUGGGAACAGUGGCAAGUUUCUGAGUGACAGUAGUACUUCUUGGAGGGGAGGGUGCAGCCACAGGUCAUCUGGUUUUGCUCCUCUCCUCACAAUCCAGGGCAAGGAUGAUUAAGGUCCCAGGCUUUUCCAUGCACCACACCCAAUAAAGUAUACAUUCUACCAGUGGGGGCCUGAAGGCCUGGAACCCCUGCCUCUCGAGCACACUUGUCUAGGACUCAGCCCUAGCAACAGGCAGCUGGGGGUUGGAUGAGAAACUCUGUUCCUCCUGGGAAGAAAGCCCUCUGAAUGAGACCUGUGGGGGUAGGGUGGGGACAGAACCCCGUGUUCUUGGUUGCAGGAGUCUUGAGUGGAGGUUCCCCUUCCUUGAGCUGGGAUGGGAGAGGGAGGGAGUGGUCUUGGUUCAAAUAAACUCAUCUUUCUUAGUGAAUUUUUGAAGUUGUUCUUGAAUGUAGGUUUCUUCAUUUGCCUUUUGUCUUUAGGUCAGUUUCCAGAGGCCUUAAAUGGCUUAAAAAAGUAGUUUUCAUCAGUUUCAGUGCAGAGCAACAGGUCACUUGAGCUCAUGCUGUCAUGCCAUAAAUUGUUCUCUUUCCUUUAUUUUUGAAAGACAUUUUUGUUAGAGAUUUGUUGGUUGACAGCUUUUUUCUUUCAGCACUGUAAAUAUGUCAUUGCACUGCUUUCUGGCCUCUGAUGGUGGGUUACUUUUCUUGCUUUUAGAAUUCUGUCUUUUUUGGGGAGUUUCAACAGUUUGAUUAUACUACAUCUCACUGCAUCAUUUUGGGUUUAUUCUCUUUUGGGUUCAUUGAAUUUUUUUAAGAUAUGUAGAUUGGCCACUGUUCAAAUAUUCUUUUUUUUUUUUUUCUUUUUUAAGUAGGCUUUAUGCCCAGUGUGGAACCCAGCACAGAGCCCAAUGCAGGGAUUGAACUCAUGACCCUGAGAUCAAGACCUGAGCUGAGAUCAAGACUUGGAUGCUUAACCGACUGAGCCACCCAGGUGCUCCUGUUCACAUAUUUUCUAUGCCUCUUUCAUUUUGUUCUGGACCUUUCAUUUUGUAUAUGUUGGUAUACUUGAUGUUGUCACUUAGGCUCUUUCCAUUUUUCCUCAUUUUUUUUUUCUUUUUCCACUCCUCAGACUGGAUAAUCUUUUUUUU